AUUGAACGCUGGCGGCAGGCCUAACACAUGCAAGUCGAGCGGAUGAAGGGAGCUUGCUCCUGGAUUCAGCGGCGGACGGGUGAGUAAUGCCUAGGAAUCUGCCUGGUAGUGGGGGAUAACGUCCGGAAACGGGCGCUAAUACCGCAUACGUCCUGAGGGAGAAAGUGGGGGAUCUUCGGACCUCACGCUAUCAGAUGAGCCUAGGUCGGAUUAGCUAGUUGGUGGGGUAAAGGCCUACCAAGGCGACGAUCCGUAACUGGUCUGAGAGGAUGAUCAGUCACACUGGAACUGAGACACGGUCCAGACGCCUACGGGAGGCAGCAGUGGGGAAUAGUGGACAGUGGGCGAAAGCCUGAUCCAGCCAUGCCGCGUGUGUGAAGAAGGUCUUCGGAUUGUAAAGCACUUUAAGUUGGGAGGAAGGGCAGUAAGUUAAUAACUUGCUGUUUUGACGUUACCAACAGAAUAAGCACCGGCUAACUUCGUG
rnacentral:rRNA from 1 species